GCCCUCUCAGAGUCGCACCUGGAGAGUUUCCAGUACUCUACCAGUCUCGAUUAUGGGAGGGAGAGUCAAGCAGAAACAUACCUAUUCCAUUCUUAACUUGGAUAGUGGCUAGCGAGUGGAAGGCAAACUGGUACAAGU